rnacentral:rRNA from 1 species
UACGAAGGGUGCAAGCGUUACUCGGAAUUACUGGGCGUAAAGCGUGCGUAGGUGGUUUGUUAAGUCUGUUGUGAAAGCCCCGGGCUCAACCUGGGAAUGGCAAUGGAUACUGGCAGGCUAGAGUGCGGUAGAGGGUAGUGGAAUUCCCGGUGUAGCGGUGAAAUGCGUAGAGAUCGGGAGGAACACCAGUGGCGAAGGCGGCUACCUGGACCAGCACUGACACUGAGGCGCGACAGCGUGGGGGAGCAAACAGG